AGUUCUCAACCACAUAAUUUGUUUGUGUGGCUUGGAUUGAUGGGGGUGUUGCUGGCUACAUACAAGUCAGCUCUCCUAAAAUGUAUAAGUGGGUAAUUUAGAAAAGCUACUUGCUGGGUGUUAUAAAUUUGAUAAUACACCUUUUGGCGAUUCUACUAUGCUGCUUCUAACAUGUUUAUAUUUUGAUGA
rnacentral:misc_RNA from 1 species